rnacentral:misc_RNA from 1 species
GUCGUGGUUCUCAAGGAAAAAGAAAGCAAUCAGCGGGAUGGCGAAGAGUCUCUCCUACAUCACGCCCUCUGAGCUCAUCUCCAUCACCCGAAACCCUAACCCUAGAGUCGCCAUCAUCGAUGUCAGGGACGAUGAGCGGAGCUACGAUGGCCACAUCGCGCACUCCCACCACUACGCCAGCGACACCUUUCCCGAGAGGAUCCCCGACCUCAUCCAAGCCGUACGGGGAAAGGAAACCCUCGUCUUCCAUUGUGCCCUCAGCCAGGUGAGGGGGCCGUCUUGUGCCCGCCUGUUACUGGAUCAUUUUUCACAAACUAAAGAAGAUACUGGAAUCAAAAGUGUUAUGGUCUUGGAACGUGGG